UGAUAAGACUAGGAUGUCAUCUCUCACUUCAUUAAUCACCAGGAGUGGUUUAGCUGAUCUGGAUGACCCGGGUGCAUCCACCCGCUUUCUCCCUCCAUUCUGUUUCAGUCCCUCCUGAAGCUGAGUACUGUGUGGAGAACACUUUUCCCUAACAGAGGACCAUCUUUUUUCCUUCCAUCAAGGGUGUGCAAGUAGCUAUGUUCCCCUACCAGAAGCUAACAGGCUCUCAAGUUUGUGGAGCACAGAGAAGCUAAGUUUCCGUGAUCCCAAAUACAUCCAAAGUCUCACUGCAUAUGGCAGUAUUU
rnacentral:snRNA from 1 species